rnacentral:rRNA from 1 species
ACAAGAUUCCGGGCCCUACGGGGCGCAGCAGGCGCGAAACCUUUACACUGCACGUCAGUGCGAUAAGGGGAUCCCGAGUGCGCAGGCAUAGAGCCUGCGCUUUUCUGAACUGUAGGGAGGUUCAGGAACAAGAGCUGGGCAAGACCGGUGCCAGCCGCCGCGGUAAUACCGGCAGCUCGAGUGAUGGCCGAUCUUAUUGGGCCUAAAGCGUCCGUAGCUGGCCGUGCAAGUCCGUCGGGAAAUCCACCCGCUCAACGGGUGGGCGUCCGACGGAAACUGCAGGGCUUGGGACCGGGAGGCUUGAAGGGUACGUCCGGGGUAGGAGUGAAAUCCCGUAAUCCUGGACGGACCACCGAUGGGGAAACCACUUCAAGAGAACGGAUCCGACAGUGAGGGACGAAAGCUAGGGUCUCGAACCGGAUUAGAUACCCGGGUAGUCCUAGCUGUAAACGAUGCCUGUUAGGUGUGACUCCCACUACGAGUGGGUGUUGUGCCGUAGGGAAGCCGCUAAACAGGCCGCCUGGGAAGUACGUCUGCAAGGAUGAAACUUAAAGGAAUUGGCGGGGGAGCACUACAACCGGAGGAGCCUGCGGUUUAAUUGGACUCAACGCCGGACAUCUCACCAGCAUCGACUGUGGUAAUGACGGUCAGGUUGAUGACCUUACUCGAGCCACAGAGAGGAGGUGCAUGGCCGCCGUCAGCUCGUACCGUGAGGCGUCCUGUUAAGUCAGGCAACGAGCGAGACCCGCAUCCUUACUUGCCAGCAGCACCGCGAGGUGGCUGGGGACAGUAGGGAGACCGCCGUGGCUAACACGGAGGAAGGAACGGGCAACGGUAGGUCAGUAUGCCCCGAAUAUGCUGGGCAACACGCGGGCUACAAUGGCCGAGACAAUGGGUUCCAACGCCGAGAGGCGACGGUAAUCUCAGAAACUCGGUCGUAGUUCGGAUUGUGGACUGAAACUCGUCCACAUGAAGCUGGAUUCGGUAGUAAUCGCGUGUCAGAAGCGCGCGGUGAAUACGUCCCUGCUCCUUGCACACACCGCCCGUCAAAGCACCCGAGUGAGGUCCGGAUGAGGCUCCCGAGAGGGAGUCGAAUCUGGGCUUCGCAAGGGGGCUU